CAACUACUCCCUCUGUCCCAAAUUUCUUGUCUUAGAUUUGUCUACAUACGGAUGUAUCUAAUACUAAAAUGUGACUUGAUACAUCCGUAUCUAGACAAAUUUAAGACAAGAAUUUUGGGAUGGAGGGAGUACUUU
rnacentral:pre_miRNA from 1 species